CCAACGACCAAAGCAAAGGACAGCAGAACUGACUGACACAGCUCAGAAAAUAUCCAAAGCUCUGUAUGCUCUGGAAAGGAAGACAAGAAAUGCUAAAGACUCUGGAUAUUGCUCUGUUUCUAUAAGGUCCCACCCAUAUACCAUCUCUUCUUUUGGAUUUCCUUUGGCAGUAACCUGAAGUUAUAUAAGUGGCAUGUUCCCAAGUACAAAGGGAGCCCUUCUAUUGCUUCUGCUUACAAAGAGGUGUCAACCUAAGAAAAAGCCAGAACAAGCCAAAGUUCAGGGUUCCCUUGUAUGGAAGUUCUCAGGAGAACAACACUCUCAGAGUCCCACUGUCUCAAAGAAUUCUUAAUGGACAGCUAUACUUGGCCCCAAGGUUUCAACCUCACACUGAAGAAAGUGACAUAAGAAAACACAAGUCCCAGUGCUAUCAGGGGCUAUCUGGAAAAGCUGCUUAAACAGCAAGUGAAAGAAGGCUCUCCCCUACCCCGUUCUAGAUGACAGGUCCUAUGUAAGAUACACAUACCACAUGCUGUCAACCCAUCUGAGACACUCAGCUUUCAAAUGACAGUUCUUCUCUGAAGCUAACCUAGCCAAAAGAGUGAAAUACACUAUCUGUUAAGCUGUGUCAGUAGCUAAGUCUGUGUGUCUAAAUUAAAAACAUACUCACCCUGAAGUUAUUUGAAGGAUCCUUGAGACUCUUUUGGAUUGCUGCUUGGAGAACAUUCCUGUAACUUGUCCCUGCUCCUUGAACUAUAAAAGCAGAAGGGAGGUACUGAGUUAAAACUUACAAAUUAUUAUCAAAUAAAUCUUCAAUAGUGGU
rnacentral:lncRNA from 1 species